rnacentral:rRNA from 1 species
CAUUUGGAAACAGAUGCUAAUACCGCAUAACARCGUUGUUCGCAUGAACAACGCUAAAAGAUGGCUUCUCGCUAUCACUUCUGGAUGGACCUGCGGUGCAUUAGCUUGUUGGUGGGGUAAYGGCCUACCAAGGCGAURAUGCAUAGCCGAGUUGAGAGACUGAUCGGCCACAAUGGGACUGAGACACGGCCCAUACUCCUACGGGAGGCAGCAGUAGGGAAUCUUCCACAAUGGGCGCAAGCCUGAUGGAGCAACACCGCGUGAGUGAAGAAGGGUUUCGGCUCGUAAAGCUCUGUUGUUAAAGAAGAACACGUAUGAGAGUAACUGUUCAUACGUUGACGGUAUUUAACCAGAAAGUCACGGCUAACUACGUGCCAGCAGCCGCGGUAAUACGUAGGUGGCAAGCGUUAUCCGGAUUUAUUGGGCGUAAAGAGAGUGCAGGCGGUUUUCUAAGUCUGAUGUGAAAGCCUUCGGCUUAACCGGAGAAGUGCAUCGGAAACUGGAUAACUUGAGUGCAGAAGAGGGUAGUGGAACUCCAUGUGUAGCGGUGGAAUGCGUAGAUAUAUGGAAGAACACCAGUGGCGAAGGCGGCUACCUGGUCUGCAACUGACGCUGAGACUCGAAAGCAUGGGUAGCGAACAGGAUUAGAUACCCUGGUAGUCCAUGCCGUAAACGAUGAGUGCUAGGUGUUGGAGGGUUUCCGCCCUUCAGUGCCGGAGCUAACGCAUUAAGCACUCCGCCUGGGGAGUACGACCGCAAGGUUGAAACUCAAAGGAAUUGACGGGGGCCCGCACAAGCGGUGGAGCAUGUGGUUUAAUUCGAAGCUACGCGAAGAACCUUACCAGGUCUUGACAUCUUGCGCCAACCCUAGAGAUAGGGCGUUUCCUUCGGGAACGCAAUGACAGGUGGUGCAUGGUCGUCGUCAGCUCGUGUCGUGAGAUGUUGGGUUAAGUCCCGCA